rnacentral:rRNA from 1 species
UACGGGGGGAGCAAGCGUUGUUCGGAUUUACUGGGCGUAAAGGGCUCGUAGGCGGCCAACUAAGUCAGACGUGAAAUCCCUCGGCUUAACCGGGGAACUGCGUCUGAUACUGGAUGGCUUGAGUCCGGGAGAGGGAUGCGGAAUUCCAGGUGUAGCGGUGAAAUGCGUAGAUAUCUGGAGGAACACCGGUGGCGAAGGCGGCAUCCUGGACCGGCACUGACGCUGAUGAGCGAAAGCCAGGGGAGCAAACGGG